rnacentral:rRNA from 1 species
CACUAGUGAUUGGUGUUCUUCCCGAUAUCUACACAUUCCACCGUUACACCGGGAAUUCCAGUCUCCCCUACCGCACUCAAGCCCGCCCGUACCCGGCGCGGAUCCACCGUUAAGCGAUGGACUUUCACACCGGACGCGACGAACCGCCUACGAGCCCUUUACGCCCAAUAAUUCCGGAUAACGCUUGCACCCUACGUAUUACCGCGGCUGCUGGCACGUAGUUAGCCGGUGCUUAUUCGAAAGGUACACUCACCCGAAGGCUUGCUCCCGAUCAAAAGCGGUUUACAACCCGAAGGCCGUCAUCCCGCACGCGGCGUCGCUGCAUCAGGCUUGUUCCAAUUGGCCACCUUCCCCCCUGCUGCCUCCCGUAGGAAUAUGU